rnacentral:lncRNA from 1 species
GUGUGAGUAGCUUUUUUGAUAUAAUCAUUGAUUUCAGAGCAGUUGAAAAUUAACUCCUCAAAUAAAUAAGGUUAACAUAAUAAAAUUCAGUAAACCAUAGUAUUUUUAAACCACAAUCAUAUAAUUUUUAUCAGAUCUAAAAUAUUUAAUACAGGAAAUUGCACUUUUCUAUUUCUAAUUUCUCUGAGAAAAAUACAGCCAUUGUAAGUCACAUUUUUUUUUAAAAGCUGUUAGUUAAUCCUCACUACACAUAGGUUAUAAAUGUUUGGAAAAAAAUAUAAACAACAAAACAUUUUUUUUCUUUAUCAACUUUCAUUUUUAAAGAGCCUUCCUUUUUUUCCUAUGUGUAAUUCAUUUUUCCAAAAAAAUUCAACAUCUUAGUUUUUGUAUAUUCCAUUGGAAUAAAUAUAUCAUCUCAGUUUUAAUAUGAGAAAACAAAAUGAUAUCUGUUCAGUUAAUAAAAAAAAUCAUUAUUAUCAAAAGAUGGAAAAAAGUAAAAUCACAUAAUGUUAUGAUAUUGUAAUUAUUAUAUUUAUUUAUGUUGGCCUAAUUUGUGUUGUAUGGCCUUAUAGUUGUUUACAAAAUAAUCUUAUAACUGUGCAGUUUAGAAUAACAGAAAUUGGGGGCUCGUCCGGGAGACUGAAUUAUCUUAUUCAAAAUUUGUUUAGUAAUUUUUAUUAUAACUAGCCAACAAAAUUCUACAAAAUGGCAUUUGAUGCCGGUAAAUUUUUGAAAACGCCUGACCUGGAGGGGUUUGAUAAUUUAAAGAAAGAGGAAUUAGUGUUGCUUGCUAAACAUCUGAAAUUAGAUUUUAAAGUAUCUAUGAGAAAACAAAUUAUAAAAAAUUUGGUUAUAGACAAAUUAGUUGACGCAAAAAUUUUAAGUGAAGAGGCUCUUGAACUUAAGGUCGAAAAUGUUGACGCCUUUAAAUUAAAACAACUUGAAUUAGAACAUGAACUUAAAUUAAAAGAACUAGAAAUGAAGGAAA